rnacentral:rRNA from 1 species
GUGGGGAAUUUUGGACAAUGGGCGAAAGCCUGAUCCAGCCAUGCCGCGUGUGUGAAGAAGGUCUUCGGAUUGUAAAGCACUUUAAGUUGGGAGGAAGGGCAGUAAGUUAAUACCUUGCUGUUUUGACGUUACCGACAGAAUAAGCACCGGCUAACUUCGUGCCAGCAGCCGCGGUAAUACGAAGGGUGCAAGCGUUAAUCGGAAUUACUGGGCGUAAAGCGCGCGUAGGUGGUUUUGUAAGUUGGAGGUGAAAUCCCCGGGCUCAACCUGGGAACUGCCUCCAAAACUGCAUGACUAGAGUACGGUAGAGGGUAGUGGAAUUUCCUGUGUAGCGGUGAAAUGCGUAGAUAUAGGAAGGAACACCAGUGGCGAAGGCGACUACCUGGACUGAUACUGACACUGAGGUGCGAAAGCGUGGGGAGCAAACAGGAUUAGAUACCCCUGUAGUCC